ACACGUUUGCUCUCAACUCCUCCCCGCCAAACCCCGGUGAGGUGGGCACUUCUUGUUGCACUUGAAAAAUGAGAUAACUGAGCCACACAGAGGAAUUAAGUCACAUGCUGGAGUCUCGGGCUUCACCACUCAGGCCAUGCUGCAGGUGCUCUGGGGUGAAACAUGGUGCCUGCCCUUCUAGAUUCCCCAGGGAUGCAGAGGUAGGGGUUUCCCCACCUCCGGGGUUAGGGAGCAAAGGGAACACCCAUCCAUUCCCUCCUGCGCGGACAAAACCGUAACUGGAGGACAUCGGCAAGAAGGACCUUUCUCUUCUCCUUGAGAAUUCAUCUCCAGAACCUUCUGGAGAAUGGCUCACUUGGGAGGAGGGAGAGGAAAAGUGGAAGAAGAGGAGGUGUCCCAACUCAUGACUUCCACAUGCUCCUGCUUCUCUGAAAGGCUCAACAACUUCCACUGAGGAAAGCACAUUCUCUGACACUCCCAAAGAGAGGCCUGGCGGAAGGCCACCAGGCAUGGAACGGGCUCCCCACUAUUCCAGAAGACGCCAUGAAGGGUUCAAGUUCGUCUUCUGUCACCCGCACCCUCUUUGCCCCUCAGCUUCUCAAGAGCACAGGCCCACCUCUCUCAUUCUUCCCGAAAUCCUCCCAUCACAGACAGACCCAAUCGUGUGAUAAAUAAAUCGUACUUGGUGUAGGCCUCUUCAGGGAAAAAAAAAAAAAAAAGAGUUGACACAGCAGGCCCAAGUGCUUUUCUCAGAAAGGCCUACUUACAAAAUUGGCUCUUGGCUAGUGUUUGGGAAGCUGGAUUUUCAGAGGGUUCCCACCAUUCAGUGAUUGCUCAUCUGUGUUCCUAAACUAUAUAAAUAACAGUUUAUGCGGAACACCUGCUCUCCUUCUGGGGGGCUGAAAGCGGGGACCGUGCCAGCCAGAGACUGCCUUGGUGACUGACAACCUCCAAAGACUCUGGGCCCUGAGUUUCUAAUGAGCUUCCUGGUUGGCAUACUUCACAGGUCACAACUCAUUGUUGGGCAUUGCAGGUCUGCGACUUCCCUGCAAAGGGGCCCAGUAGAAGCUCAUGCCUGCUCUCCUGUGUUUUGUAUUUUUUCGCUGUAAUAAAUCAUAACUGUGAGCAUA